rnacentral:rRNA from 1 species
GCAGUCGACGGUGAAGCCCAGCUUGCUGGGUGGAUCAGUGGCGAACGGGUGAGUAACACGUGAGCAACCUGCCCCUGACUCUGGGAUAAGCGCUGGAAACGGCGUCUAAUACUGGAUACGAGACGUGAUCGCAUGGUCAACGUUUGGAAAGAUUUUUCGGUUGGGGAUGGGCUCGCGGCCUAUCAGCUUGUUGGUGAGGUAAUGGCUCACCAAGGCGUCGACGGGUAGCCGGCCUGAGAGGGUGACCGGCCACACUGGGACUGAGACACGGCCCAGACUCCUACGGGAGGCAGCAGUGGGGAAUAUUGCACAAUGGGCGCAAGCCUGAUGCAGCAACGCCGCGUGAGGGAUGACGGCCUUCGGGUUGUAAACCUCUUUUAGCAGGGAAGAAGCGAGAGUGACGGUACCUGCAGAAAAAGCACCGGCUAACUACGUGCCAGCAGCCGCGGUAAUACGUAGGGUGCAAGCGUUAUCCGGAAUUAUUGGGCGUAAAGAGCUCGUAGGCGGUUUGUCGCGUCUGCUGUGAAAUCUGGGGGCUCAACCCCCAGCCUGCAGUGGGUACGGGCAGACUAGAGUGCGGUAGGGGAGAUUGGAAUUCCUGGUGUAGCGGUGGAAUGCGCAGAUAUCAGGAGGAACACCGAUGGCGAAGGCAGAUCUCUGGGCCGUAACUGACGCUGAGGAGCGAAAGGGUGGGGAGCAAACAGGCUUAGAUACCCUGGUAGUCCACCCCGUAAACGUUGGGAACUAGUUGUGGGGUCCAUUCCACGGAUUCCGUGACGCAGCUAACGCAUUAAGUUCCCCGCCUGGGGAGUACGGCCGCAAGGCUAAAACUCAAAGGAAUUGACGGGGACCCGCACAAGCGGCGGAGCAUGCGGAUUAAUUCGAUGCAACGCGAAGAACCUUACCAAGGCUUGACAUAUACGAGAACGGGCCAGAAAUGGUCAACUCUUUGGACACUCGUAAACAGGUGGUGCAUGGUUGUCGUCAGCUCGUGUCGUGAGAUGUUGGGUUAAGUCCCGCAACGAGCGCAACCCUCGUUCUAUGUUGCCAGCACGUAAUGGGGGAACUCAUGGGAUACUGCCGGGGUCAACUCGAAGAAGGUGGGGAUGACGUCAAAU